AUGACGUUGUUCUUGGCUCAAUAAGUCUGUGUCAGCGGCGACUAUAGCGAUCAUGCUUAUAAUCGGUUUACAGCAGGCUAAUGAAAGAGAAUUUUGGAUGGUAAAAGAAAAACGAAGAAUAGGAAGAAGAUGGGCGGGAAAAGAUGGGUUAAAUGGUAUGAAAAGAUGGGUGAAAUGGUAUGAAAAAGAAGGAAAUGAAUAGAGAAACAAUGAAAAUGGAUGAAAAACGAAAGAACGAGCGAAAACGGAUGACUUUUGCAAAAGCUAGAGAUAUUGAAAAAAGAGUAAAUAAAGGGAAAACAAUGAUUAAGUGCAGGAAAGGCUACAAGAGGCGAAAAAAAAGUGAGAAAUAGAUAAAUAAAUUCGUGUAGGAUAGUUUGUUGAAAGGAGAGCGAAGUAUGGAGUUUGAUUGUAAAAUGUAAAGGAGAAAGGGAUAAGAGUGAUGAAAAGGAAAAGGAUACAACUGAAUAAAGAAAGGAUUAAAGAUUGAAAAAGGAAAGGAAUAGUAACGGUGAGAAAUGAUGAAUCAUCCACAAGUGAGUAAAACACGAAGAAAUU